UACAGAGGGUGCGAGCGUUACUCGGAAUUACUGGGCGUAAAGCGUGCGUAGACGGUUAUAUAAGUCGGGUGUGAAAGCCCCGGGCUCAACCUGGGAAUUGCAUUCGAGACUGCAUAGCUAGGGUGCGGAAGAGGGAAGCGGAAUUUCCGGUGUAGCGGUGAAAUGCGUAGAUAUCGGAAGGAACAUCAGUGGCGAAAGCGGCUUCCUGGUCCAGCACCGACGUUCAGGCACGAAAGCGUGGGGAGCAAACAGG
rnacentral:rRNA from 1 species